rnacentral:rRNA from 1 species
CGGGACGGGUGAGUAAUGUCUGGGAAACUGCCUGAUGGAGGGGGAUAACUACUGGAAACGGUAGCUAAUACCGCAUAACAUCGCAAGACCAAAGAGGGGGACCUUCGGGCCUCUUGCCAUCGGAUGUGCCCAGAUGGGAUUAGCUAGUAGGUGGGGUAAAGGCUCACCUAGGCGACGAUCCCUAGCUGGUCUGAGAGGAUGACCAGCCACACUGGAACUGAGACACGGUCCAG